rfam:Dipodomys ordii contig_53328, whole genome shotgun sequence.
GGGAAAGUAGCUCAGUGGUAGACUGCAUGCCUUGCAAGCAUGAGGCCCUGGGUUCGAUUCCUCAGCACCA